CUUGUCUGUGUCCUUCUUAUUUCUUCUGUGCAUUAAAAACACUUUAAUUGUCCUCUUUUUUCUUCUUUUCUUUGUUUCUUUCUUCCUUUCUCACACCUCUCUUCUCUCUCUUUCCUCAAAAGAAAAUCUUUGUAAAAAAAAAAAAGCAGAGUCACACAAAAUAAGUUGACAUUUAAUACCCCUCUGGAGCUCAGUAAUCCAACUCACACCACCACUGGCUGGUUAGGUCCUCAGAGUGGUGACUAUUACUAAUCCCAGAGCUCUACGGAGUGACUCAGUGGGUGUGUAUCCCCCUAGAUAUCAACUGAGAAACCCCUAUUAGCAUGAUUCCCCUAACAGUCAGCCAGUAGACUCAGUUCGUUAGCAAGGGCAUUUUCUCAAAUAGCCUAGCAAAAACAGCUGCUUUAAAGCAUUUUCCCUGACACCAGGGUACACACUCUCCCACAAGAAUGCCCAGGGUCCAGGAGGGAGGAAAAGCCGGCACAAACUUAAAGUACAAUUGUGGUGAGAUACACGUGUAGGGGACACACAUGACCAAGGCGACUCACAACUACAGAACCGUGCCUUGAUGCUCCUUUUCUCUCCCAAUAGUCCUCCCAAUGUUUGCUCCUAGUUGUUUCCAUGUUCAGCUGGAUUUACUCCCUCCUAAGGUGUGGUGUCAGGAUGACUGAGCAAGCCCCUGGUGAAUGUGCUGGCUCCUCACCAGAAACUGGCUUUGCCCAAGUUCAAGGAUGUUGAUGUUGACAGGCACCAGCUUCUCUUUUUCCUGACUAAGCACCUUCACUGAAACCUCUUGGCCAGAAGAAAAACCUGGAUUUCCAGUUCUUUGGCAUAUGGAGGUAAUCUCUACUGAAUAAGAAAUGAGUCAUGGAUGUCACUUGGCACCACUUCUAUUCAGUCCUUAAGGAUAUAAACAAAGGUUUCCCUGACCAGGGAGUUUAUCGGGGCUCCAUUGGCUCUUGAAAAAUCUCUUCUGUAUGCUGAUGACACGGUGCUACUAGUCUUUUGUUCACAUAGGCCUGAAAGUAAAUUUACUCUGUAAAUUUGGGUUUUUUAAACAUCAUUUGUGUCAUAACCCCCCCCCCCACACACACACACAGUUUGCUAGUCUAUGGACCCUUUCUU
rnacentral:lncRNA from 1 species